GACGAACGCUGGCGGCGUGCUUAACACAUGCAAGUCGAACGGAAAGGCCCUGCUUUUGUGGGGUGCUCGAGUGGCGAACGGGUGAGUAACACGUGAGUAACCUGCCCUUGACUUUGGGAUAACUUCAGGUAACUGGGGCUAAUACCGGAUAGGAGCUCCUGCUGCAUGGUGGGGGUUGGAAAGUUUCGGCGGUUGGGGAUGGACUCGCGGCUUAUCAGCUUGUUGGUGGGGUAGUGGCUUACCAAGGCUUUGACGGGUAGCCGGCCUGAGAGGGUGACCGGCCACAUUGGGACUGAGAUACGGCCCAGACUCCUACGGGAGGCAGCAGUGGGGAAUAUUGCACAAUGAGCGGAAGCCUGAUGCAGCAACGCCGCGUGCGGGAUGACGGCCUUCGGGUUGUAAACCGCUUUCGCCUGUGACGAAGCGUGAGUGACGGUAAUGGGUAAAGAAGCACCGGCUAACUACGUG
rnacentral:rRNA from 1 species